UGACUCGUUGUGCUUCAAAACAGACAUAAAUACGAUCAAACCUUUGCUUGCUUCCGGGUGUUGGCCCUGGAAUAGUCUGAAUAUCCAUAAUGGUUCCUUUAUUAGUCUUAUGAAUCUCUGCUUCGUAAUCCCAGAUUCGAGCAAAAUGUGUUCCAUGGCCUGCUCGUCUUUGCCUAGUAAUUUUGGUCUAAAUUACUAGGCUAGGUCAGUAUCUAAUUUGGCUAGGUCAAUAUAAGUUCGGGUGUUUUUUGGCUUAUUACAAAGUUUGUAUUUUUUUUUGGCAAAAUCAUAUAAGUUUGGUAUUUAGAUGACCGAUUUCCCUACACACAUACUUAAGGGUCACGAUGACAAAAUCUUCGGUUUAACCAAUAAGAGUAUUCAUCAAAAGACAUCUUAUAAACCAAUGGAUUAUAUUUUAAAAACUUGGUGAAAACAAACAAGAAAUUUAUCAAUAAAAUACAAGAACACUGGGUCAAUAACUGCUUAAUUCUUUUUUUUUUUUAAAAAAACAAAAGGUAAAUGAUGCAAUUGAUAGUAUAAUCUACACUACUCUAUACUCCACUGUUUUACUUUUUUUAUUUUAAGUACACAACUUUUUGUUAUUUUUUAUUCUUGGGAGAUGUAUAUCCUAUAAACAAAACUGUGUUAAAUGGAAGGACUUGAUAGACACCAAAACCAGAAGAGAAACGAAAACAAACGGCUCAAACUUGACAGUAUAAAAUAUCUACUGUUAAAACAUCAUCCAAAAUUUAUAAAUUAACGAUUGAGAAAUAUUUUGAUAAAAAAUAUAAUUCGAUAAUAUUGAUCAGAUUACAGCAUCACAAAGUCAGUGAACAAAUCAUAUAAAACAAACUUGAAUAAAGAAAAUUGUAUCAUGCCAAUUGCCAAAAGAAACCAAACAAAUAAAUAGAUAACAGAAAGUAGAAACAUUGACUGACCGAUUACUAAGUUCUGGACAAAAGACGAAGACUUGAAAAGUCAACUUCAGUCUUCUUCCUUAUUGUCCCACCAAUAAUUUUACUUUUUCUCCUUCAAUCUCAUCUUCUUCCUCAAUCCUCUGAACAUCGACCACAUGUUUCUUCAUCCAUUGACCUCAAAUACUUGAUUUUCACUAUCGACUCUCUUUCUUUCUCUCUCUCUCUAGAUUUUCCGUCAAAGCUAUGGAGAAACUCUGUCUUCGAAACUCUGUUUCUCUCAUGACGAUGGUGGUUAUUGUUCUUCUUCCUCGUUGCACUCUUUCUACUACUUCUACAUAUUCUCGUCCCGAGAAGUUGUACGUCAACUGUGGGUCGGAUUCUAAUGUCACUUACGGUAACCGGACUUUUGUCGGAGAUAUGAUCUCUGGUGGUAACUCCGUUUCAUUCACCAAGAAAGGAACUGAAGCCAUCAACCAAUCAGGAUCAGGAAUCUACGAAAUGGUUAGGAUAUUCACAAGCCCUUCUUCUUACAAGUUCCAACUCGAUUCCGUUGGUCUGCACUUCGUGCGUCUCCAUUUCUCUGCUGUCUCUUCUCGGACACAGCUUUUAGCUGCUCGUUUCACAAUCUCAGCUACUUCUCACUUGAAAAGUUUCUCGCUUCAGAAUUUCAAUGAGACCCCACGAGUUGAGGAGUUUCUCCUGAUGAUUGACUCGCCGGAAUUCGAAAUUCGAUUUGUGCCCGAUCAUUCAUCCAUGGCUUUCGUCAACGCCAUCGAAGUGUUCUCUGCUCCAGAUGACCUAGAAAUUCCGUCAGACUCCGACAAGAAUCUGCAUACGGUUUACAGAUUAAACGUAGGAGGCAAGAAGAUCACACCAGAAAACGACACCUUGGGAAGAACUUGGUCAUUAGACGAUGACUUCCUCUACGAAAAAGAUUCUGCGAGGAACAUUAACUCAACACAAAAGCCUAACUAUGAGUCAGGAACAGUGACGCAAUUCACUGCUCCUGAUUUCGUCUAUCAGACAGCUAAAACGAUGAACCAUAGCUCGAACGAGGGGGUGGUAGAGGGAAUGUUGAUGAACGUCACUUGGUCAUUUAAGGUCAAAAGCAGCUCAAGACACUUCAUCAGGGUUCACUUCUGUGAUAUCAAGAGUGAAUCACAAAAUCCCGACUCCGAUUUCUAUCUCUAUGUAAACGGACAAUCACGACUAGAUGUAAAGCCUUCAGAGCGUAUUAGGUUGGUGACUCCGUUUUUCAAAGAUGUGAAUGUCUCUGAUGGUUUUGGACUCUUGAAUGUUACAAUAGGUACUAAGGAUUCCACUAAGGAUGCUGGUUUUCUGAAUGGUCUGGAGGUGAUGGAGUUUUUGAAAAAGUCAGAUUCUUCAGAUAAAAGUAGUUUCCGGGUUUACAUCAUUGCUGGCUGUGUUGUUGCUGCAUCGGUUCUGGUAUUGAGUUUGUUGUUCACAGUUUUCUUGAAGCGGAGGAGAUUGAAGAAGGAAAAGAAGUUAGACGCUGAGGUCACUGAAUGGUCUCCUUUGCCAUUGUACAGAGGUGGUGGGAGUUCCGACAAUAGACCUUCUGAUCCGGUCAACAAUUCUCCAUUACGCAGCAAUAGAACUUUUGAUCCGGUCAACAAUUCGCCAUUACGCAACCUAAACUUAGGCUUGACCAUUCCCUUCAUAGACAUUAUGAGAGCUACAAACAAUUUCGACGAGCAGUGGUUGAUCGGGAGAGGCGGUUUCGGAGACGUUUACAAAGCCAUUCUUCAAGAUGGAAGCAAAGCGGCUAUCAAGAGAGGCAAGAGUGGUUCAGGACAAGGAAUAUUGGAGUUUCAAACAGAGAUUCAAGUCCUGUCGAGAAUCCGGCACAGGCACCUCGUUUCUCUAACGGGUUACUGCGAAGAGAACUCGGAAAUGAUCCUUGUCUACGAGUUUAUGGAGAAAGGUACGCUUAAGGAGCAUCUAUAUGGCUCGGAUUUGCCUUCACUGACAUGGAAACAGAGACUAGAGAUCUGCAUCGGAGCAGCCAGAGGUUUGCAUUAUCUCCACAGUGGCUCAGAAGGAGCAAUCAUUCACAGAGAUGUCAAAUCCACAAACAUACUACUAGACGAGAACACCGUAGCCAAAGUUGCCGAUUUCGGGCUCUCAAAACUCGCGGUUCGUAAUCAAGAUCCGAUUAAUAUCAGCACUAACAUCAAAGGAACAUUCGGUUACCUCGAUCCUGAGUAUCUGCAGACACACAUCUUGACGGAGAAAUCAGAUGUUUACGCUUUUGGAGUCGUUCUCCUCGAGGUCUUGUGCGCGAGAUCGGCUCUCGAUCCUUCUCUUCCUCACGAGGAAGUGAAUCUAGCCGAGUGGGCGAUGUUCUGCAAAUCCAAAGGGAUAAUCGAUGAGAUCUUAGAUCCGAAAUUGAUAGGUCAGAUCGAGCCGAGUUCGUUGAGGAAAUACAUGGAAAUCGCGGAGAAGUGUUUGAAAGAGUACGGAGACGAGAGGCCGAGCAUGGGGGAUGUGAUCUGGGAUCUGGAGUAUGUUCUUCAGCUUCAGAUGAUGCCGAUUCGCAGAGAGCCUCAUGAGGAUAGCGCCGCGACGAUCUCCG
rnacentral:lncRNA from 1 species